rnacentral:rRNA from 1 species
GGGACCUGGGGAUUGAUUGGACUUUAUUUGCGCAGUAUAGGUGGGAGGCGUUGAAAUAUUCUUGCGGGAAUAUUGGAGUCAUCAGUGAGAUACCACUCUUGUAAUGUUAGAUUUCUAACUUUGUAUCAUUAUCUGGUCAAAGGACAGUUUCAGGCGGGCAGUUUGACUGGGGCGGUCGCCUCCCAAACGGUAACGGAGGCGCACAAAGGUUUCCUCUGAACGGGUAGAAAUCGUAUCUAGAGUGUAAAGGCAUAAGGAAGCUUGACUGUGAGACCUACAAGUCGAGCAGGGACGAAAGUCGGUCUUAGUGAUCUGACGGUGCUGAGUGGAAAGGCCGUCACUCAACGGAUAAAAGUUACUCUAGGGAAACAGGCUGAA